AGUGAACGCUGGCGGUAGGCCUAACACAUGCAAGUCGAACGGCAGCACAGUAAGAGCUUGCUCUUACGGGUGGCGAGUGGCGGACGGGUGAGGAAUACAUCGGAAUCUACUUUUUCGUGGGGGAUAACGUAGGGAAACUUACGCUAAUACCGCAUACGACCUACGGGUGAAAGCAGGGGAUCUUCGGACCUUGCGCGAUUGAAUGAGGCGAUGUCGGAUUAGCUAGUUGGCGGGGUAAAGGCCCACCAAGGCGACGAUCCGUAGCUGGUCUGAGAGGAUGAUCAGCCACACUGGAACUGAGACACGGUCCAGACUCCUACGGGAGGCAGCCGUGGGGAAUAUUGGACAGUGGGCGCAAGCCUGAUCCAGCCAUACCGCGUGGGUGAAGAAGGCCUUCGGGUUGUAAAGCCCUUUUGUUGGGAAAGAAAAGCAGCAGGUUAAUACCCCGCUGUUCUGACGGUACCCAAAGAAUAAGCACCGGCUAACUUCGUG
rnacentral:rRNA from 1 species